rnacentral:lncRNA from 1 species
CCUCAGAAGUGUCUGUUGAAAUUAACGCAUCCUGAAAUCCCAAAAAGGUUCCUUCUGCAUAGAAUAGAGUCAAGCUGGAAGAAUACUAUAUUUUACCAGAAAAGAGAUCAGGUUGCUAAAAGUGUUUUUUCUCUUGCGGUCCAAGUCAUCCAAUGGAUGGGCAUCUUCCCUCCUCCCAAAUUCCUAAGUAAUUCCCAGUGAUCACCUCUCUCCAGAAACCCACCAGUUCUGAGAGCUUUCGCUUUCUUGUCCUGUGGGGUACGUAUUAUCAGGGAGAAAGAGCAGUAUGGGGGGGGGGGGGAAACUAACCGAGAACUGAAAUCGCUGCCCUUUUCGCUCUGUCUUCUCAGGCGCCGCUCCAAGUUGGGUGCAGUGGGCGAGAGGGAAACCUGUUGCCUAGAAAGUGCUCCUCCGGCUGCGCUCUUGGGACCUUGGCACUUCUGGGCUCGUCAGGCCCCCUGCCGGACCAGUGACUGGCUCCACGCGAGGUGCCACAGCUUCCCGCGCUACACUGUCCUGAGGGUCACUGGAGAGGACUAGGUGGAGCGCGCUUGCUAGAAUGGGAAGGAAGGUGGCGUCUCUACAGCCCCACUAAUGACAAGAAGCCGAUCCCGGGCUAGUUUCUCCUCCACUUCCUUCCUAUCUUUUUUCUUUCUUUCUUUUUUUUGGCGGGGGGCUUCCCACUCACCCCCCAGAUCAGCAACUUAGCCUCCAGUUGAAGAGGAGGAAAAGAGAAGGACCCCACAAUGAUCCUAUUCCCACUGAGUCCUCUGCAAAUAGGUGAGAGGAGAGAGGAUGGCAGACUAGACGGUCGGGAGGAGGACCGAGUGUGACGAGGGCGGUGGAGGAGGCGUGUUUCUGUGGGUAUCUGAGCGAUGGUUUCCUUUCAGCACGCCCCGGCUCCUCUAGGGGUUGGUGGAGGCACGGUGGACUUUCCCAGGCCUCGUGGAAUCUCCGCGGCGCGGAGUGAGUGUUGGGCGUCCAGCUCAUUUCCCAGCAGCCAAAAAACCCACAGAGGUGCGAGUAGCCGCCGAGUGGAUGGUGACAGCAAAGAGCCAGCCCCUAGCAGGGACCUGCAGAGGGCACGGUUAGAGGCUGGUUUGGUCUGGUUGACAUUACCCAUAGAGUGAGAUUUGGCACUGCAAGGACCCCUCUUAACUUCAAAGAUCUCCCACUCUGACCUGUUGUACAGCCAUCCUCCCUUCCUACCUGGCCUGAAACUCAGACGAUGAAUCAUUCUUUUGCUAAGGAAUCGUCUCAAGAAAGCCCCUGUCCAAAUGCUUUAUACUAUCUGGAAGGUAAGAGACGUUGGAGGUUUUCCCCUAGCCCUCUUCCAUACGUACAUUAAUACUGUUGUUGAAACCAAGUACAGGACUUCAC